rnacentral:miRNA from 1 species
UGGACUCCUCUGCCGAUGCU